AUUGAACGCUGGCGGCAGGCCUAACACAUGCAAGUCGAGCGAGCGGCGGACGGGUGAGUAAUGUCUGGGGAUCUGCCCGAUAGAGGGGGAUAACUACUGGAAACGGUGGCUAAUACCGCAUACUAUCGGAUGAACCCAUAUGGGAUUAGCUAGUAGGUGGGGUAACGGCUCACCUAGGCGACGAUCUCGAGCUGGUCUGAGAGGAUGACCAGCCACACUGGAACUGAGACACGGUCCAGACUCCUACGGGAGGCAGCAGUGGGGAAUAUUGCACAAUGGGCGCAAGCCUGAUGCAGCCAUGCCGCGUGUAUGAAGAAGGCCUUAGGGUUGUAAAGUACUUUCAGCGAGGAGGCGUUACCCGCAGAAGAAGCACCGGCUAACUCCGUGCCAGCAGCCGCGGUAAUAC
rnacentral:rRNA from 1 species